rnacentral:rRNA from 1 species
UACAGAGGGUGCGAGCGUUAAUCGGAAUUACUGGGCGUAAAGCGCACGUAGGUGGCGACGUAAGUCGGGUGUGAAAGCCCCGGGCUCAACCUGGGAUUUGCAUUCGAGACUGCAUUGCUGGAGUACGGAAGAGGAGGGCGUGAUUCGCGGUGUAGCGUUGAAAUGCGUCGAUAUCGGGAGGAACAUCAGAGGAGAAGGCGGCCCUCUGGUCCAGUACUGACACUCAAGUGCGAAAGCUUGGGGAGCAAACAGG